GAUGAAGAACGUAGCGAAAUGCGAUAAGUAAUGCGAAUUGCAGAUCUCCGUGAGUCAUUGAAUCUUUGAACGCACAUUGCGCCCCUUGGUAUUCCAUGGGGCAUGCCUGUUCGAGCGUCAUUUGUACCUUCAAGCUCUGCUUGGUGUUGGGUGUUUGUCUCGCCUCUGCGUGUAGACUCGCCUCAAAACAAUUGGCAGCCGGCGUAUUGAUUUCGGAGCGCAGUACAUCUCGCGCUUUGCACUCAUAACGACGACGUCCAAAAGUACAUUUUUACACUCUUGACCUCGGAUCAGGUAGGGAUACCCGCUGAACUUAAGCAUAUCAAUAAGCGGAGGA
rnacentral:misc_RNA from 1 species